rnacentral:rRNA from 1 species
AUUGAACGCUGGCGGCAUGCCUUACACAUGCAAGUCGAACGAGUGGCGGACGGGUGAGUAAUGUCUGGGAAAGUGCCCGAUGGCGGGGGAUAACUACUGGAAACGGUAGCUAAUACCGCAUACCAUCGGAUGUGCCCAGAUGGGAUUAGCUAGUUGGUGGGGUAAAGGCUCACCUAGGCGACGAUCCCUAGCUGGUCUGAGAGGAUGACCAGCCACACUGGGACUGAGACACGGUCCAGACUCCUACGGGAGGCAGCAGUGGGGAAUAUUGGACAAUGGGCGAAAGCCUGAUGCAGCCAUGCCGCGUGUAUGAAGAAGGCCUUCGGGUUGUAAAGUACUUUCAGCGGGGAGGCGGUACUCGCAGAAGAAGCACCGGCUAACUCCGUGCCAGCAGCCGCGGUAAUUC